GGGGUUGUAGUUAAAUAUAACAUUUGGGUUGCAUCCAAAAAGUACUUAAAGAAUAGUCCUCCUCA
rnacentral:tRNA from 1 species